GAUGAACGCUGGCGGCGUGCCUAAUACAUGCAAGUCGAGCGAACAGACGAGGAGCUUACUCCUCUGACGUUAGCGGCGGCCGGGUGAGUAACACGUGGAUAACCUACCUAUAAGACUGGGAUAAAUUCGGGAAACCGGAGCUAAUACCGGAUAACAUGUUGAACCGCAUGGUUCAACAGUGAAAGACGGUCUUGCUGUCACUUAUAGAUGGAUCCGCGUCGCAUUAGCUAGUUGGUAAGGUAACGGCUUACCAAGGCAACGAUGCGUAGCCGACCUGAGAGGGUGAUCGGCCACACUGGAACUGAGACACGGUCCAGACUCCUACGGGAGGCAGCAGUAGGGAAUCUUCCGCAAUGGGCGAAAGCCUGACGGAGCAACGCCGCGUGAGUGAAGAAGGUCUUCGGAUCGUAAAACUCUGUUAGUAGGGAAGAAGAAAUGUGUAAGUAACUAUGCACGUCUUGACGGUACCUAAACAGAAAGCCACGGCUAACUACGUG
rnacentral:rRNA from 1 species